GCAUCCUCAGCGUUCUGAAGACCUACUCGUCCCUUAACCACAACCUACAGGGCUACAGAGAGCCGUUCCUGGAGGGCGUGACCCACGUGGUGGUGUCCUACCUGCCCAAGAUGGCCGCCUCCGAGCUGCUGAAGGUGGUCUACUGCCUGUGUCUGCUGGGCCACUUCCCCGCCGCCCCACUGGAACAGCUGCUGCAGCAGGAUACACUGGAGGAGAUCAGUGCCAGAGGUGGGCGGCUGCAGAAAGGGG